UACGAAGGGUGCAAACGUUGCUCGGAAUUAUUGGGCGUAAAGCGCACGUAGGCGGCUUGGCAAGUCGGAUGUGAAAUCCCUCGGCUCAACCAAGGAAGUGCAUCCGAAACUGCCGAGCUUGAGUACUUAAGAGGAUCGCGGAAUUCCCGGUGUAGAGGUGAAAUUCGUAGAUAUCGGGAGGAACCCCAGUGGCGAAGGCGGCGAUCUGGGAAGAUACUGACGCUGAGGUUCGAAAGCGUGGGGAGCAAACAGG
rnacentral:rRNA from 1 species